rnacentral:rRNA from 1 species
GACGAACGCUGGCGGCGUGCCUAAUACAUGCAAGUCGAACGCAGUGGGGACGGGUGAGUAACACGUGGGUCACCUCCCAUCAGAGGGGAUAACACUUGGAAACAGGUGCUAAACCGAUACUGAUGGAUGGACCCGCGGUGCAUUAGCUAGUUGGUGAGGUAACGGCGCACCAAGGCCACGAUGCAUAGCCGACCUGAGAGGGUGAUCGUCCAACCUGGGACGGAGACAGGGCCAGGACUCCUACGGGAGGCAGCAGUGGGGAAUCUUCGGCAAUGGAGGAAAGUAGGACCGGGCAACGCGGCGUGAGUGAAGAGGGUUUUCGGAUCGUAAAACUUUGUUGUUAGAGAAGCGGUAUCUAACCAGAAAGCCACGGCUAACUACGUGCCAGCAGCCGCGGUAAUUC